rnacentral:rRNA from 1 species
UACGGAGGGUGCAAGCGUUAUCCGGAUUCAAUGGGUUUAAAGGGUGCGUAGGUGGUCAAGUAAGUCAGUGGUGAAAUCUCCGGGCUUAACCCGGAAACUGCCAUUGAUACUAUUUGUCUUGAAUACUGUGGAGGUCAGCGGAAUAUGUCAUGUAGCGGUGAAAUGCUUAGAUAUGACAUAGAACACCAAUUGCGAAGGCAGCUGGCUACACAAAUAUUGACACUGAGGCACGAAAGCGUGGGGAUCAAACAGG